rnacentral:tRNA from 1 species
GAUCCUGUGGUGUAGUGGUUAUCACGUCUGCUUCACACGCAGAAGGUCGCCGGUUCGAUCCCG